rnacentral:rRNA from 1 species
UACGUAGGGUGCGAGCGUUAAUCGGAAUUACUGGGCGUAAAGCGUGCGCAGGCGGUUUUGUAAGUCUGUCGUGAAAUCCCCGGGCUUAACCUGGGAAUUGCGAUGGAGACUGCAAGGCUAGAAUCUGGCAGAGGGGGGUAGAAUUCCACGUGUAGCAGUGAAAUGCGUAGAGAUGUGGAGGAACACCGAUGGCGAAGGCAGCCCCCUGGGUCAAGAUUGACGCUCAUGCACGAAAGCGUGGGGAGCAAGCAGG